AAUCCUUUUGUCAGGGAUAGAAGAUAAUUUAGAUCCUGAUGUAGAAUCAGAUUGUCUUUCAUCAUCUUCUUCCCUCAGAGAAACUGUUUGCCAAUGGAGAAAGCAAAUGCUAAGAAAUUCUCUUGGUCAUACUCCUUUCUUGGCAUCAAGGCAUUUGAGCCAAUAUCGAAAAAGACAAAUAAGCAACAUGGCCAGUAGAUGUUCUUCGACAUGGUGAGCAGCAUCAGAUUAAUGGUGAUCUGUUGAAAGAAGCUAGAGACUUGUUGUUCGCUACCCAGUGGUUGAAAGGAUCCAUCUGGCUCUUGGAAGAAACAUGGCAGAGGCAGUUCCCUCCAGUGCUACAACUUCUUCCAUGGGUGUCACCCUCAGACGUUUCCCAGGUUUGGGUUCAGACUCCAUAUGCAGUUGUGACAAAGAGGCUGCAUUUACACUCAGCUUGAGGCUUCCUAGAACAACCUGGAUAGAUUCAUCAGACACUGUAAGGAAAGCAAGGAGAUGGUGUACGAUGUACAUGCUCAGGAUCUAGCCAUCCGCUGAUCACCAUCUUUUCGCUGUUCGUCAACCAAGGAACUCUGGCCAUUUGGGUAUGUGCUUCAGGUUUAAAUCGAUUGGAUGCAUCUGUCGGCCAUUCUUACAUACAAGCAUUCAUGGCAGCAUUGAGAAGAGGUGUCUCGGAUGUCAUGAUUGGAUCAUAGACAUCCUUUCUACAAAGGUGUCAUAAUUUUUGUCUCGAUCCAACAUACUUAUCCGGACAUACUUAGGGCUAACCCCAAAGUGCUUGCCACCCCUCGUCAAGAUCUUCUUGCCUCGAAGGAAGCUUUCGCAGUCUUCAAUCUCUCCUUCGCACUUCACCCAUGCGAAAGCUGCAAAGGAGAAAAUUCAGGUUGAGGCUCGAAGACCCUAUUGAGAAAGUUGCAGAACUGGGGGGGAAAGUCAGGCACACUAAAUAGGCCACUCUGAUGCACUGCCUCUCUCAAUUGCUUCCACCUCUUGGCCAUAAGGUGGUAGCUGAACUCGAAGAA